GUGCCAGCCGCCGCGGUAAGACGGAAGGUGCAAGCGUUGCUCGGAAUCACUGGGCGUAAAGGGUGCGUAGGCGGCUUCCUAAGUCCGGUGUGAAAGCCCAGGGCUCAGCCCUGGAAGCGCACUAGAAACUGGGGAGCUUGAGUGCCGGAGGGGAGAGUGGAAUUCCUGGUGUAGCGGUGAAAUGCGUAGAUAUCAGGAGGAAUACCGGUGGCGAAAGCGACUCUCUGGACGGUUACUGACGCUGAGGCACGAAAGCGUGGGGAGCAAACAGGAUUAGAAACCCUCGUAGUCC
rnacentral:rRNA from 1 species